UACGUAGGGGGCGAGCGUUAAUCGGAAUUACUGGGCGUAAAGCGUGCGCAGGCGGUUGUGCAAGACAGAUGUGAAAUCCCCGGGCUCAACCUGGGAACUGCGUUUGUGACUGCACGACUAGAGUACGGCAGAGGGGGGUGGAAUUCCUGGUGUAGCAGUGAAAUGCGUAGAUAUCAGGAGGAACAUCGAUGGCGAAGGCAGCCCCCUGGGCCUGUACUGACGCUCAUGCACGAAAGCGUGGGGAGCAAACAGG
rnacentral:rRNA from 1 species